rnacentral:sRNA from 2 species
GUUCGUUGAGCGCUUAAUUUUCGGCAUUAUUGCCGUAAAGCGGGGGAACCAUCAGAUGGGGCGUAUUCCGUAAAGGAUAGAGCAACUCUUUCAGCUCGAGCCCGUCAGCUAACCUCGUAGGCGUUGAAAGGGAGUGGAA